GGAAUCUUGCGCAAUGGGCGAAAGCCUGACGCAGCCACGCCGCGUGGAGGAAGACACCCCUAUGGGGCGUAAACUCCUUUUAUAUGGGAAGAACGUGCCGCUCGGCGGCAUUUGACGGUACCAUAUGAAUAAGCACCGGCCAACUCCGUGCCAGCAGCCGCGGUAAUACGGAGGGUGCAAGCGUUGUCCGGAAUCACUGGGUGUAAAGGGUGUGUAGGCGGGGCUGUAAGUCAGAGGUGAAAUCCCACGGCUUAACCGUGGAAUUGCCUUUGAUACUGCAGCUCUUGAGUCUCGGAGGGGUCACUAGAAUUCGUGGUGUAGCGGUGAAAUGCGUAGAUAUCACGAGGAAUACCAGAGGCGUAGGCGGGUGACUGGACGAGUACUGACGCUGAGGCACGAAAGCGUGGGGAGCAAAC
rnacentral:rRNA from 1 species